GGCCACGUAGCUAAGUAGUAAAGCACUUCUCUGCAAAAGAAGUAUACGCCGGUGCGAUUCCGGCCGUGGCCU
rfam:Candidatus Staskawiczbacteria bacterium RIFCSPHIGHO2_02_FTLL_34_10 rifcsphigho2_02_scaffold_4592, whole genome shotgun sequence.